rnacentral:lncRNA from 1 species
UUUUUCUUUUUUUUUUUUUUUUUGUCUUUUAAGGGCUGUGCUUACAGCAUAUGUAAGUUCCCAGGCUAGGGAUCGAAUUGGAGCUGUAGCUGCCGGCUUGCGCCACAGACACAGAAACACCAGAUCCGAGCUACAUUUGCAACCUACACCACAGCUCAUGGCUCAGAUCUGAGCCACAUCCACGAUCUACGCCACAGCUUGUGGCAACACUGGAUCCUUAACCCACUGAGUGAGGCCAGGGAUCAAACCCACGUUCUCAUGGAUACUAAUUGGGUUUGUAACCCACUGAACCACAGUGGGAACUUCCUUUAAUGAUUAUUCUUAAUGCUUUCUGUGAGUUAGGAGAUGGGAAAGUAAAGAUGAACUGGAGGCUUCUUUCUUGUAGAGACUCAUAGUACACAUACUGGGGUGGUGAAGAUGGCAUUAAACACCCAUAUUGCAUGUGACUGGUGCUAUAGUCAAAGUGAGCUCCAAGUAUUGAUGGAACACUCAGGGCUCAAUUGAUUCUGAUUGGGAGAGUCAGGAAAUACAUUCCUAGAAAGUGACAUUUGAGUGGGGUCUUGAGGAUGAGGUUGGGGGGGGCCAUUCCAAACUAGGCUGCGUGUUUGGGGAUUGGCUUGGCUGGGGUAAGUGGUACUGCGUUCCCUGUAGAAGAAGCAGAAGAUGGUAUGGUGAGCUCUAGACCACAAGGCCAGUCUAGAGAGCUAGUGGGGAAUCCCAUGUUCAAGGGGCAUCAUGUAAGAUAAACCUUAAGGGGAAUAGACCCUGGGAUGUGGGGUUUGGAAAUGGUAAGAGAUCAGGCUGGGAGGUAAAUUCAUGGAGAACCUUGUGUGACAUGCCAAUUUGUUUUUCCUCUCUCAUGCAAUGAGGAAAACUGGUAGCCUUUUUUUUUUUUUAGUGGAAUAGAUAUAGAUCCAUUUGAUUGAUUGUGGAGGAUAAUUUGGAGAAGAGAAUUUGAGGAAAAUAGUUCAGCAGCUAUUUGAGUAAUCUAGAUGAAAGAUAAUGAAUGUUUGAACAUGGGCUGUGAUGAAAGAGAGACGCCAGGGUUCCUGUUUUCUCAGGGCUUGUGCAUAUUUUGUGGGGGCACGAAAGAAUUGGGCUCCAAUCAAGAGCGGUAUUUUAAAUGUGCACCGUGCUUUCAAAGAACAGCUGCAACAUCAAGUCCAAUAUCUACUAAGAUACAUUCUGGGGUAGGCGUUUUUGACCAAGUGUUGGGUAUGAUUGAUCCUGUGUUGAUUUUGUCUUCCCAGAAGACUUAAGAGGGAGAUGGGGCUUCUAUGAUUGCCAUUCUGCAGAGGAAGGACCAGCUUGAGAGUCGAAGGGAUACUCAAGUCCAUGCUGCCAGGGAGGGACAGAAUCUGGACUUGAGCUUGACUUCCUCUUCUCUGGUAGCUGCUCUUUCCAGGAGACUGGGAUUAACUCCACAUGUGUCGGAACAUCAAAUGCAAGAUGAACAGGGAGAGCCUACUGAAUGAUUUCAGAAGCAGGAGAAAGACACACUGUCAAGAGCCAUCGGGGAUGUGGUUUUGGAGGAAGUGGCCUUUGGCCUGAGUCUUGAAAGCUGCAGGGUGAGGUUGGACUCCAAGAAGCAGAGGAGCUAGGCUGCUGUGUGCCCAGUGGUACCAGUGGUAAGGAAGCAUAGGUAUUAAUUACCCCCUGUCAUUUCUGGGGCAACAUAACUCUGAUUUUAAUUAAUUAGUGAAAUAUUUAUUUUGCCCUUGCUCUAUUCCAGGAACUAUCUGGGGUCAAGAGACGCUGACAUUCAUGAGGCCAGAGUCUAGCUUUGAGAAAGAGAUCAUCUGUUAGAGAUGAUAGGGCUGUGGGCCCAGGAGCCACAGGACCUGGGUCUGAAUUCUGAAACUAAUGUUCAGUAGGGUAGAUUUUUUUUUUUCUUUUUAUAGCCCCACCUGCAGCAUAAGGAAGCUCUUGGACCAGGGAAGGGGUCAAAUCGGAGCUGCAGCUGUGACCUACACCACUGCUAAUGGCCAUGCUGGAUAUUUAACCCACUAAGCAAGGCCAGGGAUUGAACCCACAUCCUUACAGAGACAACAUCAGGUCCUUUAUCCACUGAGCCACAACAGGAACUCCAUAGCUGGGUAGCUUCUAAAGUGUCCCUGAAUCUCUCUGAUCCUCAGCUUCUCCAUCUGUACAGCUCAGUUAGUGGUUUGCAAGUCACGCAGUUGUUACAAAGAGCAGAGUUAAUGUGUUAAUAUGCUUUGUACGGUUCAAAGCACAGAACAUCUACGAAAGCCCGAGCCAUUAUCAUUAUUGUUAUUGUCUGGGAUUUCUCAGUCUUGUAAGAGAGUGUGGAGAGGAAUGACUAAGUGUGAGCCAACUUCCAGAAAUCAGCUGAUGGACAAACAAAAGUCUCGAUGGCCCGGGGAGUUCUGCUGAGAGACCUGGAAGCACAGUGCUGAUGCCGGCAGGGAUCCUAGCAGUCAUCGCACUCCACUCACCGUCCACUUUACAGGAGGGAAAGCAGCUACUGCCUUGAAUCCCGCCAGAUGCUCCGAAAGCCUUGGAAGGAAUGGAUGGCCUGUCCCAGAAAUCCACAGGACACUGUGAGCAGGAAAACAAGACCAACCCCUCAGGAAGUUGUCAGACCAAAUUCUUACCUAUCACUUUAGUCAUCCAUUCAUCCAUGUGUCCAACCUGUUUGUGCUCCAAGCCAGGCAUUAGACAGGAUGCUAGUUACACAGAGCAAAAAUGAAACUACUGCCAAAACCUCCAGACACAGGGAUUUCUUCCUGCACCUUAAACAGGCAACAACACCUCCUGAAGGCCUCCUAUGUCCCCAGCGCUGUGGCAGUAGGGAAACUGAGUCAGAAACUAAGGUGGAGCCCGUACUAUGUAGCAGGUGCCUGUUCAUGGGGAAAAAGAAUCCAGGCAUCACUGAAACUGCUUCGAGUACCAGUAAGUUUGCUUUCGGCCUUAGCAUGGACCAACCUUUGGUGUUGCCUACAACGGGAAGAAUGAAUUGGCUGCAUCCAGAGCACCUGCUCAUGUGUGAAAAUGAAGAACCGCGGUGCAACUCCAGGUGGUCUCUGCCUCAGCAUCACUGCCUGAAUAUCCUUUUUCGUCUUUUUCUUUUUUAA